rnacentral:piRNA from 1 species
CGAGACUUAGAACGUGGAUGCCACUUGUU